rnacentral:rRNA from 1 species
GGUUAAGCGACUAAGCGUACACGGUGGAUGCCCUGGCAGUCAGAGGCGAUGAAGGGCGUGCUAAUCUGCGAUAAGCGCCGGUAAGGUGAUAUGAACCGUUAUAACCGGCGAUACCCGAAUGGGGAAACCCAGUGUGACUCGUCACACUAUCAUUAACUGAAUCCAUAGGUUAAUGAGGCGAACCGGGGGAACUGAAACAUCUAAGUACCCCGAGGAAAAGAAAUCAACCGAGAUUCCCCCAGUAGCGGCGAGCGAACGGGGAGGAGCCCAGAGCCUGAAUCAGCAUGUGUGUUAGUGGAAGCGUCUGGAAAGGCGCGCGAUACAGGGUGACAGCCCCGUACACAAAAGCGCAUGUGCUGUGAGCUCGAUGAGUAGGGCGGGACACGUGGUAUCCUGUCUGAAUAUGGGGGGACCAUCCUCCAAGGCUAAAUACUCCUGACUGACCGAUAGUGAACCAGUACCGUGAGGGAAAGGCGAAAAGAACCCCGGCGAGGGGAGUGAAAAAGAACCUGAAACCGUGUACGUACAAGCAGUGGGAGCCCCACCACUAAGCCAGUGGUGAACUCCACAUACGCAUCCUUUGCUGAGGAUACGGUUAACGGAGCGAAAGCGACGUUCAACCGCAAAAGAAGCAGAGGGGGCUUAGUGGUGGGGUGACUGCGUACCUUUUGUAUAAUGGGUCAGCGACUUAUAUUCUGUAGCAAGGUUAACCGCAUAGGGGAGCCGGAGGGAAACCGAGUCUUAAUUGGGCGUUAAGUUGCAGGGUAUAGACCCGAAACCCGGUGAUCUAGCCAUGGGCAGGUUGAAGGUUGGGUAACACUAACUGGAGGACCGAACCGACUAAUGUUGAAAAAUUAGCGGAUGACCUGUGGCUGGGGGUGAAAGGCCAAUCAAACCGGGAGAUAGCUGGUUCUCCCCGAAAGCUAUUUAGGUAGCGCCUCGUGAAUUCAUCUCCGGGGGUAGAGCACUGUUUCGGCUAGGGGGCCAUCCCGGCUUACCAACCCGAUGCAAACUGCGAAUACCGGAGAAUGUUAUCACGGGAGACACACGGCGGGUGCUAACGUCCGUCGUGAAGAGGGAAACAACCCAGACCGCCAGCUAAGGUCCCAAAGUCAUGGUUAAGUGGGAAACGAUGUGGGAAGGCCCAGACAGCCAGGAUGUUGGCUUAGAAGCAGCCAUCAUUUAAAGAAAGCGUAAUAGCUCACUGGUCGAGUCGGCCUGCGCGGAAGAUGUAACGGGGCUAAACCAUGCACCGAAGCUGCGGCAGCGACGCUUAUGCGUUGUUGGGUAGGGGAGCGUUCUGUAAGCCUGUGAAGGUGGCCUGUGAGGGUUGCUGGAGGUAUCAGAAGUGCGAAUGCUGACAUAAGUAACGAUAAAGCGGGUGAAAAGCCCGCUCGCCGGAAGACCAAGGGUUCCUGUCCAACGUUAAUCGGGGCAGGGUGAGUCGACCCCUAAGGCGAGGCCGAAAGGCGUAGUCGAUGGGAAACGGGUUAAUAUUCCCGUACUUGGUGUUACUGCGAAGGGGGGACGGAGAAGGCUAUGUUGGCCGGGCGACGGUUGUCCCGGUUUAAGCGUGUAGGCUGGUUUUCCAGGCAAAUCCGGAAAAUCAAGGCUGAGGCGUGAUGACGAGGCACUACGGUGCUGAAGCAACAAAUGCCCUGCUUCCAGGAAAAGCCUCUAAGCAUCAGGUAACAUCAAAUCGUACCCCAAACCGACACAGGUGGUCAGGUAGAGAAUACCAAGGCGCUUGAGAGAACUCGGGUGAAGGAACUAGGCAAAAUGGUGCCGUAACUUCGGGAGAAGGCACGCUGACACGUAGGUGAAGUGAUUUACUCAUGGAGCUGAAGUCAGUCGAAGAUACCAGCUGGCUGCAACUGUUUAUUAAAAACACAGCACUGUGCAAACACGAAAGUGGACGUAUACGGUGUGACGCCUGCCCGGUGCCGGAAGGUUAAUUGAUGGGGUCAGCGCAAGCGAAGCUCCUGAUCGAAGCCCCGGUAAACGGCGGCCGUAACUAUAACGGUCCUAAGGUAGCGAAAUUCCUUGUCGGGUAAGUUCCGACCUGCACGAAUGGCGUAAUGAUGGCCAGGCUGUCUCCACCCGAGACUCAGUGAAAUUGAACUCGCUGUGAAGAUGCAGUGUACCCGCGGCAAGACGGAAAGACCCCGUGAACCUUUACUAUAGCUUGACACUGAACAUUGAGCCUUGAUGUGUAGGAUAGGUGGGAGGCUUUGAAGUGUGGACGCCAGUCUGCAUGGAGCCGACCUUGAAAUACCACCCUUUAAUGUUUGAUGUUCUAACGUGGACCCGUAAUCCGGGUUGCGGACAGUGUCUGGUGGGUAGUUUGACUGGGGCGGUCUCCUCCUAAAGAGUAACGGAGGAGCACGAAGGUUGGCUAAUCCUGGUCGGACAUCAGGAGGUUAGUGCAAUGGCAUAAGCCAGCUUGACUGCGAGCGUGACGGCGCGAGCAGGUGCGAAAGCAGGUCAUAGUGAUCCGGUGGUUCUGAAUGGAAGGGCCAUCGCUCAACGGAUAAAAGGUACUCCGGGGAUAACAGGCUGAUACCGCCCAAGAGUUCAUAUCGACGGCGGUGUUUGGCACCUCGAUGUCGGCUCAUCACAUCCUGGGGCUGAAGUAGGUCCCAAGGGUAUGGCUGUUCGCCAUUUAAAGUGGUACGCGAGCUGGGUUUAGAACGUCGUGAGACAGUUCGGUCCCUAUCUGCCGUGGGCGCUGGAGAACUGAGGGGGGCUGCUCCUAGUACGAGAGGACCGGAGUGGACGCAUCACUGGUGUUCGGGUUGUCAUGCCAAUGGCACUGCCCGGUAGCUAAAUGCGGAAGAGAUAAGUGCUGAAAGCAUCUAAGCACGAAACUUGCCCCGAGAUGAGUUCUCCCUGAGACUUAGAGUCUCCUGAAGGAACGUUGAAGACGACGACGUUGAUAGGCCGGGUGUGUAAGCGCAGCGAUGCGUUGAGCUAACCGGUACUAAUGAACCGUGAGGCUUAACCUU